rnacentral:rRNA from 1 species
GACGAACGCUGGCGGCGUGCCUAACACAUGCAAGUCGAACGGGGUAAAGACUUCGGUUUUUACUUAGUGGCGAACGGGUGAGUAACGCGUGAGAAACCUGCCUUUCAGUGGGGGACAACAGUUGGAAACGACUGCUAAUACCGCAUAAUGUUAUUUGGGGGCAUCCCUGAAUAACCAAAGAUUUAUUGCUGAAAGAUGGUCUCGCGUCCGAUUAGCUAGUUGGUGAGGUAACGGCUCACCAAGGCGACGCUCAGUAGCCGGUCUGAGAGGAUGAACGGCCACAUUGGGACUGAGAUACGGCCCAGACUCCUACGGGAGGCAGCAGUGGGGAAUAUUGGGCAAUGGGGGAAACCCUGACCCAGCAACGCCGCGUGAAGGAAGAAGGCCUUCGGGUUGUAAGCUUCUUUUACCAGGGACGAACAAAUGACGGUACCUGGAGAAAAAGCAACGGCUAACUACGUGCCAGCCGCCGCCGUAACAC